UUUGUGGAGAGUUUGAUCCUGGCUCAGGAUGAACGCUGGCGGCGUGCUUAACACAUGCAAGUCGAACGGAAAGGCCUCAGCUUGCUGGGGUACUCGAGUGGCGAACGGGUGAGUAACACGUGGGUGAUCUGCCCUGCACUUUGGGAUAAGCUUGGGAAACUGGGUCUAAUACCGAAUAUGACCACUUCUUGGAUGUUGUGGUGGAAAGCUUUUGCGGUGUGGGAUGAGCCUGCGGCCUAUCAGCUUGUUGGUGGGGUAAUGGCCUACCAAGGCGGCGACGGGUAUCCGGCCUGAGAGGGUGUACGGACACAUUGGGACUGAGAUACGGCCCAGACUCCUACGGGAGGCAGCAGUGGGGAAUAUUGCACAAUGGGCGCAAGCCUGAUGCAGCGACGCCGCGUGGGGGAUGAAGGCCUUCGGGUUGUAAACUCCUUUCGCUAUCGACGAAGCCACUUGUGGUGACGGUAGGUAGAUAAGAAGCACCGGCUAACUACGUGCCAGCAGCCGCGGUAAUACGUAGGGUGCAAGCGUUGUCCGGAAUUACUGGGCGUAAAGAGCUCGUAGGUGGUUUGUCGCGUCGUCUGUGAAAUCCCGGGGCUUAACUUCGGGCGUGCAGGCGAUACGGGCAUAACUUGAGUGCUGUAGGGGAGACUGGAAUUCCUGGUGUAGCGGUGAAAUGCGCAGAUAUCAGGAGGAACACCGAUGGCGAAGGCAGGUCUCUGGGCAGUAACUGACGCUGAGGAGCGAAAGCAUGGGUAGCGAACAGGAUUAGAUACCCUGGUAG
rnacentral:rRNA from 1 species